UACGAAGGGUGCAAGCGUUACUCGGAAUUACUGGGCGUAAAGCGUGCGUAGGCGGUUUGUUAAGUCCGUUGUGAAAGCCCUGGGCUCAACCUGGGAAUUGCAGUGGAUACUGGCGAGCUAGAGUGCGGUAGAGGAUGGUGGAGUUCCCGGUGUAGCGGUGAAAUGCGUAGAGAUCGGGAGGAACACCCGUGGCGAAGGCGGCCAUCUGGACCAGCACUGACGCUGAGCACGAAAGCGUGGGGAGCAAACAGGG
rnacentral:rRNA from 1 species